rnacentral:snRNA from 2 species
ACCACCUCAAAUGUUAGAUCAAGUGUAGUAUCUGUUCAUAUUAGUAUAUUACAUUAUACUAACUCUAUUUUUGAGGGGAUGUCCAUACGGUUGCUUGCUAUUGUGAUUCAGGACCUUCAAGCGUCCUCUGGCGUUGCACUACUGUCUUGACUUGACGCACCCCCA